UGACCUGGUUCAAGUAAUCCAGGAUAGGCUGUGUGCAAUCUAAUUGGCCUAUUCUUGGUUACUUGCACUGGGAG
rnacentral:pre_miRNA from 11 species